GCGGUACAUGAAAGAGAUAGUCUUAGAUGAAUAUCCACAAUUGGAAAGAAAGUUUGCAGCAUCAAAGAACAAACAGUAUUACAAUCAAUCUCAGUAUGAUGAAGUCAGAAGUGAAUGGAGCGAAUUUGUCUAUUUCUAUGUGGGUGCCUAAGUGUAGGCUAUGAUAUAAAGUUUAGAUUGUAUUUAGAGAUUUAUGGAUACAAAAGUUUUUAGGUUAUGCUUAAACAUUUCUUUUAUGAAUACA